rnacentral:rRNA from 1 species
GACAGAGGUGCCAAGCGUUAGGCGGAAUCACUGGGCUUAAAGCGUGUGUAGGCGGAUCGUUAAGUACCUUGUGAAAUCCCACGGCUCAACUGUGGAACUGCUGGGUAUACUGGCGGUCUUGAGCCACCUAGGGGCAACUGGAACAAGCGGUGGAGCGGUGAAAUGCGUAGAUAUCGCUUGGAACGCCAACGGUGAAAACAGGUUGCUGGGGGUGUGCUGACGCUGAGACACGAAAGCCAGGGGAGCGAACGGG